rnacentral:rRNA from 1 species
AUUGAACGCUGGCGGCAUGCCUUACACAUGCAAGUCAAACGGCAGCACGGGAGCAAUCCUGGUGGCGAGUGGCGAACGGGUGAGUAAAGUAUCGGAACGUGCCCAGUCGUGGGGGAUAACGUAGCGAAAGUUACGCUAAUACCGCAUACGAUCUAUGGAUGAAAGCGGAGGUUCGCAAGACCUCGCGCGAUUGGAGCGGCCGAUAUCAGAUUAGGUAGUUGGUGGGGUAAAGGCUCACCAAGCCGACGAUCUGUAGCUGGUCUGAGAGGACGACCAGCCACACUGGGACUGAGACACGGCCCAGACUCCUACGGGAGGCAGCAGUGGGGAAUUUUGGACAAUGGGCGAAAGCCUGAUCCAGCCAUGCCGCGUGCAGGAUGAAGGCCUUCGGGUUGUAAACUGCUUUUGUACGGAACGAAAAGGUUUGGCCUAAUAAGCUGAGCUCAUGACGGUACCGUAAGAAUAAGCACCGGCUAACUACGUGCCAGCCGCCGCAGUAA